rnacentral:rRNA from 1 species
UACAUAGGGUGCGAGCGUUGUCCGGAAUUAUUGGGCGUAAAGAGCUUGUAGGCGGUUUGUCGCGUCUGCCGUGAAAAUCCGAGGCUCAACCUCGGACUUGCGGUGGGUACGGGCAGACUAGAGUGUGGUAGGGGAGACUGGAAUUCCUGGUGUAGCGGUGAAAUGCGCAGAUAUCAGGAGGAACACCGAUGGCGAAGGCAGGUCUCUGGGCCACUACUGACGCUGAGAAGCGAAAGCAUGGGGAGCGAACAGG